UACGUAGGGCGCAAGCGUUGUCCGGAUUUAUUGGGCGUAAAGAGCUCGUAGGCGGCUUGUUGCGUCGACCGUGAAAACCCGUGGCUCAACUGCGGGCUUGCGGUCGAUACGGGCGGGCUAGAGUUCGGUAGGGGAGACUGGAAUUCCUGGUGUGAGCGGUGAAAUGCGCAGAUAUCAGGAAGAACACCCGUGGCGAAAGCGGCUCUCUGGAACGGUACUGACGCUGAGACGCGAAAGCGUGGGGAGCGAACAGG
rnacentral:rRNA from 1 species